rfam:Klebsiella pneumoniae subsp. pneumoniae MGH 78578, complete sequence.
CCGCCUGUUGCGGACAGAUCCAGUGAAUAUGGGUAUCGAUCCCGCCGGCGGUGACAAUUUUUCCUUCGGCGGCGAUCACUUCCGUCGCGGCGCCGAUGGGGAUGGUGACGUUGGGCUGGAUGUCGGGGUUGCCGGCUUUGCCGAUGGCGAAGAUCCGGCCGUCCUUCACGCCGAUAUCGGCCUUAACGAUCCCCCAGUGAUCGACGAUCAACGCGUUGGUGAGCACCAGGUCGACACAGUCGGCGGCCAGCAUCUGUCCCUGGCCCAUGCCGUCGCGG